rnacentral:tRNA from 1 species
GCCCCGGUAGCUCAGCCGGCAGAGCAACAGCUUUGUAAGCUGUGGGUCGCGGGUUCAAGUCCCGCUCGGGGCU